CGGCGACCGGCGCACGGGUGAGUAACGCGUAUCCAACCUUCCGUACACUCAGGGAUAGCCUUUCGAAAGAAAGAUUAAUACCUGAUGGUAUGAUGAGAUUGCAUGAUAGCAUCAUUAAAGAUUUAUCGGUGUACGAUGGGGAUGCGUUCCAUUAGGUAGUAGGCGGGGUAACGGCCCACCUAGCCAACGAUGGAUAGGGGUUCUGAGAGGAAGGUCCCCCACAUUGGAACUGAGACACGGUCCAAACUCCUACGGGAGGCAGCAGUGAGGAAUAUUGGUCAAUGGACGAGAGUCUGAACCAGCCAAGUAGCGUGAAGGAUGAAGGUCCUACGGAUUGUAAACUUCUUUUAUAAGGGAAUAAACCCUCCCACGUGUGGGAGCUUGCAUGUACCUUAUGAAUAAGCAUCGGCUAACUCCGUGCCAGCAGCCGCGGUAAUACGGAGGAUGCGAGCGUUAUCCGGAUUUAUUGGGUUUAAAGGGAGCGCAGACGGGUCGUUAAGUCAGCUGUGAAAGUUUGGGGCUCAACCUUAAAAUUGCAGUUGAUACUGGCGUCCUUGAGUGCGGUUGAGGUGUGCGGAAUUCGUGGUGUAGCGGUGAAAUGCUUAGAUAUCACGAAGAACUCCGAUUGCGAAGGCAGC
rnacentral:rRNA from 1 species